AGUAAAUAGAUACCCGGGUAGUCCACGCCGUAAACGAUGAAUACUAGGUGUAGGGGUUGUCAUGACCUCUGUGCCGCCGCUAAACGCAUUAAGUAUUCCGCCUGGGGAGUACGGUCGCAAGAUUAAAACUCAAAGGAAUUGACGGGGGCCCGCACAAGCAGCGGAGCAUGUGGUUUAAAUUCGAAGCAACGCGAAGAACCUUACCUAGACUUGACAUCUCCUGAAUUACUCUGUAAUGGAGGAAGCCCUUCGGGGCAGGAAGACAGGUGGUGCAUGGUUGUCGUCAGCUCGUGUCGUGAGAUGUUGGGUUAAGUCCCGCAACGAGCGCAACCCUUAUUGUUAGUUGCUACCAUUAAGUUGAGCACUCUAGCGAGACUGCCCGGGUUAACCGGGAGGAAGGUGGGGAUGACGUCAAAUCAUCAUGCCCCUUAUGUCUAGGGCUACACACGUGCUACAAUGGCUGGUACAGAGAGAUGCUAAACC
rnacentral:rRNA from 1 species